rnacentral:rRNA from 1 species
UACGAAGGGGGCUAGCGUUGCUCGGAAUCACUGGGCGUAAAGGGUGCGUAGGCGGGUCUUUAAGUCAGGGGCGAAAUCCUGGAGCUCAACUCCAGAACUGCCUUUGAUACUGAGGAUCUUGAGUUCGGGAGAGGUGAGUGGAACUGCGAGUGUAGAGGUGAAAUUCGUAGAUAUUCGCAAGAACACCAGUGGCGAAGGCGGCUCACUGGCCCGGUACUGACGCUGAGGCACGAAAGCGUGGGGAGCAAACAGG